AGCGAACGCUGGCGGCAGGCCUAACACAUGCAAGUCGAACGAACCUUUCGGGGUUAGUGGCGGACGGGUGAGUAACACGUGGGAACGUGCCUUUAGGUUCGGAAUAACUCAGGGAAACUUGUGCUAAUACCGAAUGUGCCCUUCGGGGGAAAGAUUAAUCGCCAUUAGAGCGGCCCGCGUCUGAUUAGCUAGUUGGUUGAGGUAAUGGCUCACCAAGGCGACGAUCAGUAGCUGGUCUGAGAGGAUGAUCAGCCACAUUGGGACUGAGACACGGCCCAAACUCCUACGGGAGGCAGCAGUGGGGAAUCUUGCGCAAUGGGCGAAAGCCUGACGCAGCCAUGCCGCGUGAAUGAUGAAGGUCUUAGGAUUGUAAAAUUCUUUCACCGGGGACGAUAAUGACGGUACCCGGAGAAGAAGCCCCGGCUAACUUCGUG
rnacentral:rRNA from 1 species